rnacentral:rRNA from 1 species
UACAGAGGGUGCGAGCGUUAAUCGGAAUUACUGGGCGUAAAGCGCGCGUAGGCGGCUUUGCAAGUCGGGUGUGAAAUCCCCAGGCUUAACCUGGGAACUGCAUUCGAGACUGCAUUGCUAGAGUAUGGGAGAGGGAAGUGGAAUUUCCGGUGUAGCGGUGAAAUGCGUAGAGAUGUGGAGGAAUACCGAUGGCGAAGGCAGCCCCCUGGGAUAACACUGACGCUCAUGCACGAAAGCGUGGGGAGCAAACAGG